rnacentral:rRNA from 1 species
AAUCGUCCGCCUGUGGAGUACGGCCGCAAGGUUAAAACUUCAAAUGAAUUGACGGGGGCCCGCACAAGCGGUGGAGCAUGUGGUUUAAUUCGAUGCAACGCGAAGAACCUUACCUGGUCUUGACAUCCACAGAACUUUCCAGAGAUGGAUUGGUGCCUUCGGGAACUGUGAGACAGGUGCUGCAUGGCUGUCGUCAGCUCGUGUUGUGAAAUGUUGGGUUAAGUCCCGCAACGAGCGCAACCCUUAUCCUUUGUUGCCAGCGGUUAGGCCGGGAACUCAAAGGAGACUGCCAGUGAUAAACUGGAGGAAGGUGGGGAUGACGUCAAGUCAUCAUGGCCCUUACGACCAGGGCUACACACGUGCUACAAUGGCAUAUACAAAGAGAAGCGACCUCGCGAGAACAAGCGGACCUCAUAAAGUAUGUCGUAGUCCGGAUUGGAGUCUGCAACUCGACUCCAUGAAGUCGGAAUCGCUAGUAAUCGUAGAUCAGAAUGCUACGGUGAAUACGUUCCCGGGCCUUGUACACACCGCCCGUCACACCAUGGGAGUGGGUUGCAAAAGAAGUAGGUAGCUUAACCUUCGGGAGGGCGCUUAUCUCACUUUGUGAUUCAUGACUGGGGUGAAGUCGUAUCAAUGAGCCUUCA